rnacentral:rRNA from 1 species
AUUGAACGCUGGCGGCAUGCCUUACACAUGCAAGUCGAACGGCAGCAUGGAGAGCUUGCUCUCUGAUGGCGAGUGGCGAACGGGUGAGCAAUGCAUCGGAACGUACCGUGUAAUGGGGGAUAACGUAGCGAAAGUUACGCUAAUACCGCAUACGACCUGAGGGUGAAAGCAGGGGAUCGCAAGACCUUGCGUUAUACGAGCGGCCGAUGCCAGAUUAGCUAGUUGGUGAGGUAAAGGCUCACCAAGGCGACGAUCUGUAGCGGGUCUGAGAGGAUGAUCCGCCACACUGGGACUGAGACACGGCCCAGACUCCUACGGGAGGCAGCAGUGGGGAAUUUUGGACAAUGGGGGCAACCCUGAUCCAGCCAUGCCGCGUGAGUGAAGAAGGCCUUCGGGUUGUAAAGCUCUUUCGGCCGGGAAGAAAUCGCACAGGCUAAUACUCUGUGUGGAUGACGGUACCGGCAUAAGAAGCACCGGCUAACUACGUGCCAGCAGCCGCAGUAA